UCUGCGGCCAGCCAGCAGAGCCUGGAGCUGGACGACCAGGACACGUGCGGGAUAGACGGGGACAAUGAGGAGGAGACGGAGCACGCCAAGGGAAGUCCCGGAGGGGAUUUGGGUGCCAAAAAGAAAAAGAAGAAACAGAAGAGAAAAAAGGAGAAACCAAAUUCCGGAGGCACCAAGUCCGACUCGGCAUCGGAUUCCCAGGAGAUUAAAAUCCAGCAGCCUUCAAAACACAUCAUCAUCUGGCAGCAGAUUUCAGCGGGAGCAGCCCCAGGUAAGUCUUACGUUGACUUUGAAUCGGACCAGUCUUCAGUGGCCAAUCUUGAUGAAGGGUGGGAAAUAGCUCCCAACGAUCCCC